UGAAAAUCACCAGCUUUUGUUAGAUCUGUCAGAGAAUUCAGGCGAAAGGGCAAACUGCUGCCCCCGAAAUUGGAGAAAAAGACAGGUGUAUAUACAGAGAAUCACAACUUACCAAAGCAGAAACCCAUGAGUAGAAAACUCUGUGAAUCGCUUCUCGGCCUUUUGGCUAAGAUCAAGUGUAGAAAACUCUGUGAAAACCAGUACUAGGGAAAGAAAAUCUAAACUCCAAUUGCUGAGUUGCUGGAGGCUCAGUGUGGACAAAUCUGAGAGUUUAAAAACUUCACAGGAACUCAGCCUUUGUGGGUCUCCUAGGAUUUUGUGUUUUGUUUCCGAAUCUAUCUGUCACAUUGAAGAUUCUCAGGUUAUUUCCCUCAAACUUCCAGCAGGGGGACAGGGGAAAGGAACUAUUCUGAAAUACUUGAAGCAUUCUGAAGGACUACCUCAAGAGAAAUUAUUUUAUCAGAGCCUUACCUGAUGGAGUUUUAUCAGAGCCUAACGUAGAAGAAGGGAAAUACCCCCUAGCCUUCUUGCCCUAGCUAAGGGGCUGUAAAAAACACGAGAGACACUUAGGAAAUUCACAGUGUUCAAGUUCACCAAAAGACUAAGGCCUAAUCACAGGACUAUAAAAAGCUUCCUCUAUGACUAUAAGUUUCCUCUCUCCUCAUGCCCUCCCACUAAAUCACUGAAGGCCUCUUUGCCACUGUUCCUUUCAUCCCAUACAUCAUGUAUGGCUUUCAACAAAAAAUUACAAGGCAAAAACAGAGCAAGCCCUUGAACCAGACUCAUGUAUAGCAGGGAUGUUCAGUUAUCAGGACAAGAAUUUAAAAUAUUAGGCCAGCAUUGGCCUAAUACCAACACCAGACAAAGACCUUACAGUAAAAGAGAACUACAGACCAAUAUCUCUGAUGAACAUAAAUGAAAAAAUCCCUAACAAAACAUUAGCAAACUGAACCUAACAAUAUAUUUUUAAAGUGUGUAUAUAUAUAUAUAUAUAUAUAUACCAUGAACAAGCAGGAUUUACUCUGGGUAUGCAUGGCUGGGUCAACAUUCAAUCAAUUAAUGUAAUUCAUUACAGCAAUAGGUUAAAAAAUAAAAAUCACAGAAUCUUAUCAAUAGAUGAAAAAAAAAUAACUUGACAAAAUCCAAUACCAUUCAUGAUAAAAACUCUACACACAUUAGGAAUAAAGGGAACUUAUUCACCUUGAUAAAUAACAUUCACAAAGAACUAUCAUUAUAUUAAAUCAUGAGAAACUAGAAGUUUUUCUGCUUAGACUAGGAAUGAGGCAAGAAUGACUCUUCUUGUCACUCCUUUCCAACUUCAUAUUGGAAGUCAUAACUAAUGUAAUCAGAAAAGAAAAGGAAAUAAAUAGUAUACAGUUUAGGAAGAUAUAAAACUGUCUUGGUGGAUGACAUGAUUGCCUAUGUAGAAAAUCAAUAACAAUAACAAAGAAAACUGGAAAUAAUAAAUAAGCAAUGUAUAGCAAGUUUACAGGAUACAAUAUACAAGGAUAUUGGAUACAAUAUCAAGGUUACAGGAUAUAAUAUGCAAAAGUCUAUCAUUUUCCUAGGUACCAACAAGCAACAAUUGGAAUUUGAAAUAAAAAAUGUAACACUAUUUACAUUAGCACCCCUCAAAAUAAAAUACUUAAGUAUGGGACCUCCCUGGGGGUCCAGUGGUGAAGACUCCUUGCUCCAAAGCAGGAGGUCUUGGUUCAAUCCCUGGUCAGGGAACUAGAUCCCACAUGUUGCAACUAAGAGUGUGCAUGAACUCGCUGAAGAGUUUCUUUGCCACAACUACAAAUCCCAUAUGCUGCAACUAUGACCCAGUGCAACCAAACAAAUAAAAAUAAAUAUUAUAAAAAAACAAAUUCCUCAAAAAUUAAGAAACACUUAAGUAUAAAUAUAACAAAAAUGUGUAAAAUCUAUAUGAGGAAAACUACAAAACUCUGGUGAAAGUAAUCAAAGAGGAACUAAAUAAAUGGAGAGAUGCUCCAUGUUCAUGAAUAGGAAGACUCAAUAUUGUCAAGAUGUCAGUUCUUCCCAACGUGAUCUAUAGUCAAUGUGAUCCCGAUCAAAAUCCCAGCCAGUUAUCUUUAUGAUUUUGACAGACUGAUUCUAAAGUUUAUAAGAGAGACGAAAGACCCAGAAUAACCCACACUGUAUUGAAGAAGAACAAAGUUGGAGGAUUACCGCUACCCUAUGAGGGACUCAGCUGAACUAGAAGAGAGAACUGAGACUUUAGGCAUCACAACAGCUAAUUAAAGCAAGGGGCCUGACUGAAAGUAACAGUGAAGCUGUUAAUCACUGAGAUUGGUAGUGUAUGCAAGGGGCUAAAACUGGAGAAGAUGCCAACUCCCUCCUGCCUCAUUCCCCCUUAACAUGGCAUACCAGUCGAGGGUCAGGUGGAUCAGCACAGAUGUGGUGGUUGUCUCACAUAGAGGGAGCCCUGAACAAAAGGCACUGGAUGUUUUACAGGCCCUAAAUAGGGGAGGAGAGUGAGGGUGAAGGGCUAAGAGUGGAAAGUUGCUGGGUACUGAGUUCGAGUAGGAAUAAAUACCUUCAAGGUUUCCCACUUCUCCUCCCCAGUAAGGAGAUAUUAGCACAUUCACCUGCACAAGACCUCUGGUUAAGGCCUCAGAUAAAGAGAACUAGGAAGGAAGUCACUGAAACUAGGACUGUAAAUAUGAGAAGCAUAAACAGUCAGAGGGGCAAUAAUAGGUCCUCACUGUGACUGUAUACCAAGUCUAGUUGGGGAGGACACCUUUCCCUCAUGAAAUCCAUCAAGUAAAGUCUUUGUAAUUGCCUGUGGGCAAGCCUGAAAAUCAUACGUUUAUCUUGUGGUCCAUUAGGUCUGAGUGUGGUAGAGAUAUCCAUGGAGGAUAUAUUGAGUUUGGGACAAGCUCUAGUAGAAGAGUCACAGUGUAGACACUUAUAUUCUGGAACAAGGCUGUGUACUUCACCAUAAAGAACUGAGCUGGUUGGAAAAAAUAGGUCCAACUGUACUGCUGGGUCUUAAUAGAGACCAAAUAUCUGACCAUAGUACACCAAGUGACUCUGCAGCCUGAACUGAGGAUUUGCAGAUCAGUUCAAGUCAGACACGACUGAGCAACUGAACUGAACUGAACCGAAUGUCAUUGUAUGGGUAUAUCACAAUUUGUUUAUUCAUUCACCCAUUGUUUCCAUCUUUGACUAUUAUGAAUAAUGCUGUGAACAUUCAUGUAUAAAUAUUUAUUUGAAUAUCUGUUUUUAAUUCUUUUGGGGAUAUAUUUUGGAGUAGAAUUGCUAGGUCAUAUGGUUAUUCUGUUUAAUUUUUUUAGAAAUUAGCAAACUACUUUCCAUAAAAGCUCUAUCUUCUUACAUUCCCACCAGCAAUGUACAAAUGGCUCCAGAGUCUCCAAAUCCCCAACACUAAUUUUCCAUUUUUAAGAAGUUAUAGCUAUCCCAGUGUGAAGUGGUACCUGAUUAUGAUUUUGAUUUGCAUUUCUCUAAUAACCAAUGAUGUUGAGCAUCUUUUACACAUUUGCUGGCCACUUUUGUUUGGAGAACUCUUCUAUUCAAAUCUUUUGCCCAUUUUUAAAUUGGAUUACUUACCUUUUGUUUGAGUUUUAAGGAUUCUUUAUGUAUUCUGGAUAUUAGACACUAACCAGAUAUGUCAUUUGCAAAUACUUUCUCCUAUCCUUUAAGUUGUCUUUUUCAUAGUAUACUUUGAUACACAGAAGUUUAAAAAUUUGAGCAAGUCCAAUUUAUCUAUUUUUUUCAUUGCUUGUGCUUUUGGUAUCAUUUCUAAGAAUUUAUUGCUGAAUCCAAACUAACAAAAGUGUAUUCCUUUUUUGUUCCAAGAGUUUUAUAUAGUUUUAGGUCUUUCACUAAGGAGUUUGAUCUAUUUUGUUAAUUUUUGGAUAUAAUGUAAGGUAGGGGCCCAAAUUUGUUUUUUUGCAUGUUAAUAUUCAGUUGUCUCAGCACCAUUUGUUGAAGAGACUAUUCAUUUCUCAUGAGACUAUUCACCAUGAGUGGUCCUGGCAUCCUGUUGACCACAAGAUGUAUAUGAGUUUAUUUCUGAAUUCUCAGUUAUAUUCCAUUGUCCUAUAAGUUCAUCUUCAUGCCAGUAUCAUACUGCUUUGAUUUCUGUAGCUUUGUAAUAAAUUUUGAAAUUAGGGAGUCCCCUUUUUUUUCACGUUUGUUUUUUUGUACUCCUUUGUAAUUCUGUAUGAAUUUUUUUGUAUCUUCCAUUUCUGUAAAAACAAUCACUGGGAUUUUGAUAGGGAUUGUAUUGAAUCUGUAGAUUGCUUUGGGGAUCAUUGCCAUCUUAACAAUAACAAAUCUAAUCCAUGAACACAGAUGUUGUUGUUGUUGUUUAGUUGCUAAAUCAUGUCUGACUCUUUGCGACCCGCUGGAUUGCAGCAUGCCAGGCUUCCCUGUCUUUCACUGUCUCCCAGGGUUUGCUCAAAUUCAUGUCCAUUGAGUUGGUGACGCUAUCAAACCAUUUCAUCCUCUGCCUUCUCCUUUUGACUUUAAUCUUUCACAGCAUCAGUGUCUUUUCCAAUGUGUCUGUUCUUCUCAUCAGGUGACCAAAGUUUUGGAGCUUCAGCAUCAGUCCUUCCAGUGAAUAUUCAGGGUUGAUUUCCUAUAGGAUUUACUGGUUUGAUCUUGAUGCCCAAGAGACUCUCAAGAGUCUUCUCCAGCACAAUUCAAAAGUAUCAAUUCUUCUGCACUAAGCCUUCUUUAUGCUCCAACUCUUACAUCCAUACAUGAGUACUGGAAAAACCAUAGCUUUGACUAGACUGACCUUUGUCGGCAAAGUAAUGUCUCUGCUUUUUAAUAUGCUCUCUAGGUUGGUCAUAGCUUUUCUUCCAAGGAGCAAGUGUCUUUUAAUUUCAUGGCUGCAGUCAACUAUCUGCAGUGGUUUUGGAGCCCAAGAAAAUAAAAUUUGUCACUGCUUCCACUUUCCCCCCUUCCAUUUGCCAUGAAGUGAUGGGACCAGAUACUAUGAUCUUCGUUUUAAACAGCUGAGUUUUAAACAGCUUUUCACUCUCUUCUUACACCCUCAAGAGGCUCUUUAGUUCAUCUUCACUUUCUGUCAUUAGUGUUAUCAUCUGCAUACCUAUCAUACCUGUGAAGGUUGUUGGUAUUUCUCUCGGUGAUCUUGAUUCCAGCUUGUGCUUCAUCUAGCUCAGCAUUUCGCAUGAUGUGCUCUGCAUAUAAGUUAAAUAAGCAGGGUGAGAAUAUACAGCCUUGUCCUACGUACUCCUUUCCCAAGUUUGAAUCAGUAAGUUGUUCCAUGUCUGGUUCUAAUUGUUGCUUCUUGACCUGUAUACAUGAACACUGGAUGUCUUUCCUUUUAUCUAGGACUUUAAUUUUUUUAGAAAUAUUUUGUAGUUUUCAGUAUACAAGUUUUGCUGCUUCCUUGAUCAAAUUUAUUCCUAAGUAUUUUAUUAUUUUUGAUGUUGUUAUAAAUGGAAUUAUUUUAUUAAUUUCAUUUUGUAAUUCUUCAUUGCUACUUAUAGUAGAAAUACAACUGGGUUCCCUGUCAGCUUAAUGGUUAGGAUUUCAGG
ensembl:lncRNA